GUCCAGACUCCUACGGGAGGCAGCAGUGGGGAAUAUUGCACAAUGGGGGAAACCCUGAUGCAGCAACGCCGCGUGAGUGAAGAAGUAUUUCGGUAUGUAAAGCUCUAUCAGCAGGGAAGAAGAUGACGGUACCUGAGUAAGAAGCCCCGGCUAACUACGUGCCAGCAGCCGCGGUAAUACGUAGGGGGCAAGCGUUAUCCGGAUUUACUGGGUGUAAAGGGAGCGUAGACGGCUGCGCAAGUCUGAAGUGAAAGCCCGGGGCUCAACCCCGGGACUGCUUUGGAAACUGUGUAGCUAGAGUGCUGGAGAGGCAAGCGGAAUUCCUAGUGUAGCGGUGAAAUGCGUAGAUAUUAGGAAGAACACCAGUGGCGAAGGCGGCUUGCUGGACAGUAACUGACGUUGAGGCUCGAAAGCGUGGGGAGCAAACAGGAUUAGAUACCCUCGUACG
rnacentral:rRNA from 1 species